rnacentral:rRNA from 1 species
UUUGUAGUUUGGUUAUAUAAAAUAAUAAUUUCGUGUUCUUUUUAGUAUUAUUUUGAAAUUAAUAUUUUAAUUAUAGUUAAUAAGUACCGUAUGGGAAGUCUUUGUUUUAGUAAAAAGUAAUAUUUGUUUUAUGUACCUUUUGUAUCAGGGGAUAACAAUAUAUUUUGAUUAGUACUUUAUUCCCGAAAUGUUAAGAGCUAAGUUUGAUUUUAUUUCUGUGUUGUAAAACAGUUUGUAAGUCUAUUUUAGUGAAGAUAUUUUAGUCGUUUUACAUAUAUCUGGUUCUUUGGGAAAUAAAUUUAAUUUUUCUUUUUAUUUUACAUAAUGAGAUAGUAAAAACAGGAGGUAUGAGCUUCUUGUUGUUUAAUUAGGCUUUAUGCGGAAUUGUUGAAGUAGGCUUGAAAACAGCUUCCUUAAUAUAGCGUUAAAGUUAAAUUGUUUGUUUUGAAUAAUUUAUAUUAGCCUGUUUAUUAUACCAGGGAUUAUUGUUUAAUUAUAUUUCAUUAAUUAAACUGUUUUUAUAAGUAGUUUUUGUAGUUAUUAUGUGCAAUGUAGAAUAGUGUUUAUCUUGUAAUUUAUUUAAAGUUGGGUAAAAGGAAUUCGGCAAAAAUUAUCUUCACCUGUUUAUCAAAAACAUGUCUGUAUGAUUAUAUAUAAAGUCUAGCCUGCCCACUGAUUUUUAAAGGGCCGCGGUAAUUUGACCGUGCGAAGGUAGCAUAAUCAUUAGUCUUUUAAUUGAAGGCUGGAAUGAAUGGUUGGAUGAGGGAUAUACUGUCUUUAAUUUAAAAAAUAAAUUUAACUUUUAAGUGAAAAGGCUUAAAUAUUUUAGUGGGACGAUAAGACCCUAUAAAACUUUAUUUGGUGUGGGGUUAGCGAUGACUUUGUUUUAAAAUUGCUAUUUUUGCGUUAAAUUUUGUUGGGGAGACAUUAAUAUAAUAGGUAACUGUUGUUGAAAUUAAAUAAUUAUAAUUAGGUUUUGAUCCUUUAUUAGAGAUUAAAAGAUUAAGUUACUUUAGGGAUAACAGCGUAAUUUCCUUUGAGAGUUCUUAUCGACAAGGUUAGUUGCGACCUCGAUGUUGAAUUAAAAUUUCUGGGGGGUGUAGUCUUUCUCCUAGUAGGUCUGUUCGACCUUUAAAAUUUUACAUGAUUUGAGUUCAAACCGGUGUGAGCCAGGUUGGUUUCUAUCUUCUAAGUGUUUAUUGUAGACUUUAGUACGAAAGGAUUGAGUUUGCGAGAUAAUCUUAACUAUUUGAUUAAUAUUAAUUUAUA